AACCCUGUCUCAAAAAAAAAAAAAAAAAAAAAAAAAAAACAGAAAAAAAAUUGCCCUAUUUCUUCCCUCAAAGAUGAAAACAGAUAAUUACAGCUUCUCAAUUAUCCGGUAAGAGAGAAUCUAAGAUAACUUUCCUGAACGUUCUAAUGGCCACUCUCAUUGCUGAUGGGAAGAAAUGACCACAUGAGGACCCCCAACUCUCAGGGACAUGCCAAGAACCAGCACCCCUACCCCCAGGCUGCUCCUCAUCAGGGGCCUGCCACUUCAUGGUAAUCACCUUAAAAUCGGCUUCAGUGGAAUUAUUUAAAUGCACUUAUCUCAGUCCAUUUUAAAUAAAAGUUUGUACAAGGUAGGUGAUAUUGCAGGGAAAAAAAGCCCAUGGAAGGACUUUCUAAUGCAUUCACUGACAACCAUUCUUUGACUUUAUGCAUAUUCAGAUAAGAGGCUAAACUGAAUGCAUUAUAACCUCUACUUUGUGUUAAGAUGGAAGAUUAACCACCAAUCAGAGCUAAAUUAUAUUGUUAGCAAGACAUCAACUCUGAUAAAAUUUCAUCCUCUCCAUCCUCUCAUAAAUACCUGAAGCACAGCGACUCAAGAGAUCUCACUUUGAUUGUCUUAAGCAAGUAGAAGUGUGCUUCCUUAUGAACUGCUGACACACAGAAAGUGAAAGACUUUCUCAGAGCUAAUGAGCAAUUCCAGUGUAUCACCCGUGUCAGGCUGGGUGGAAGGCACUGGCUUGCUUAGAAGUGCUCAUUUUCAGUGUCCCUACAUCUCAAGUGAGGACCUCAUGUCACAGCGGCACCUGCUCAGAAAGCAGUUGCUUGGUACUUACCACAUUGUAGUGAUGUUAUAGACACGGUUCAAAAGCAUACUGUCACUAAUCGUUUAUGGUGAAAUCCGAAGCCUUAGAAUGUUAAUGCCAUAACUCAGCAAUAAUUUGAAUACCUUUUGAAAAAAACAUUGCGAUGGUUUGUUUUGUUUGUCUCCCUAGACUGGAUUUAGAAUUGCCUGAGAGUCACACCUCUGGGCAUGUCUGUGAGGGUAUUAGCUGAAGGGGGAGAUGCACUCUGAAAGUAGACUGAAGUCAAUGACUGAAUGUUUGAAAAAUAG
rnacentral:lncRNA from 1 species